rnacentral:rRNA from 1 species
CACGGAUCCAGAGUUUGAUCAUGGCUCAGGAUGAACGCUAGCGACAGGCCUAACACAUGCAAGUCGAGGGGCAGCAUGAAAUUAGCUUGCUAAUUUUGAUGGCGACCGGCGCACGGGUGAGUAACACGUAUGCAACCUGCCUGUAAGCGGGGGAUAACCCAGGGAAAUCUGGACUAAUACCGCAUAAUAUCACAGUUUCGCAUGUUAUUGUGAUUAAAGAUUUAUUGCUUACAGAUGGGCAUGCGUCUGAUUAGCUAGUUGGCGGGGUAACGGCCCACCAAGGCAACGAUCAGUAGGGGUUCUGAGAGGAAGGUCCCCCACAUUGGAACUGAGACACGGUCCAAACUCCUACGGGAGGCAGCAGUGAGGAAUAUUGGUCAAUGGACGAGAGUCUGAACCAGCCAUGUCGCGUGAAGGACGACGGUCCUAUGGAUUGUAAACUUCUUUUAUAUGGGAAUAAAGUGUGGGACGUGUCCCAUUUUGUAUGUACCAUUAUGAAUAAGCAUCGGCUAACUCCGUGCCAGCAGCCGCGGUAAUACGGAGGAUGCGAGCGUUAUCCGGAUUUAUUGGGUUUAAAGGGUGCGUAGGCGGGAUAUUAAGUCAGUGGUGAAAGUUUGCCGCUCAACGGUAAAAUUGCCAUUGAAACUGAUAUUCUUGAGUGCGUUAAAGGUAGGCGGAAUGUGUAGUGUAGCGGUGAAAUGCUUAGAUAUUACACAGAACACCGAUUGCGAAGGCAGCUUACUGGUGCGUAACUGACGCUGAGGCACGAAAGCGUGGGUAUCAAACAGGAUUAGAUACCCUGGUAGUCCACGCAGUAAACGAUGAAUACUAACUGUUGGCUUUUAUUUGUCAGCGGUACAGCGAAAGUGUUAAGUAUUCCACCUGGGGAGUACGCCGGCAACGGUGAAACUCAAAGGAAUUGACGGGGGCCCGCACAAGCGGAGGAACAUGUGGUUUAAUUCGAUGAUACGCGAGGAACCUUACCCGGGCUUGAAAGUUAGUGACGUACUUGGAAACAGGUAUUCCCUUCGGGGCACGAAACUAGGUGCUGCAUGGUUGUCGUCAGCUCGUGCCGUGAGGUGUCGGCUUAAGUGCCAUAACGAGCGCAACCCUUAUCAUCAGUUACCAUCAGGUAAUGCUGGGGACUCUGGUGAGACUGCCACCGUAAGGUGUGAGGAAGGUGGGGAUGACGUCAAAUCAGCACGGCCCUUACGUCCGGGGCGACACACGUGUUACAAUGGGCGGUACAGAGGGCAGCUACCUAGCGAUAGGAUGCGAAUCUCUUAAAGCCGUUCUCAGUUCGGAUCGGAGUCUGCAACUCGACUCCGUGAAGCUGGAUUCGCUAGUAAUCGCGCAUCAGCCAUGGCGCGGUGAAUACGUUCCCGGGCCUUGUACACACCGCCCGUCAAGCCACGGAAGCCGGGGGUGCCUAAAGUCCGUUCCCGUAAGGUGCGGCCUAGGGCAAAACUGGUAACUGGGGCUAAGUCGUAA